CAAUAUUUUUUUUUUGGGUGAUUUGAUGCUGAAACUGGUAAUAGUGUAAGAUGGGUUUUGCAAACUGUAAAUGUAGUCAACAAAUAUACAAAUGAUCAUUU